AGAGUUCUCUUUUCUUUGUGAAGGGCAGGGCUCCCUGGAAUGGGUUCGCCCCUAGAUAGGGGCCCGUGCUCUGGAAAGCGCCGCGGCUCUGGCGGCGUCCGGUGAGCUCUCGUCGGUCCUUGAAAAUCCGGGGGAGACGGUGUAAAUCUCGCGCCAGGCCGUACCCAUAUCCGCAGCAGGUCUCCAAGGUGAACAGCCUCUGGCAUGAUAGAUGAA
rnacentral:rRNA from 1 species